UACGUAGGGGGCAAGCGUUGUCCGGAAUCAUUGGGCGUAAAGAGCGUGUAGGCGGCCAAGCAGGUCAGCUGUGAAAACUCGAGGCUCAACCUCGAGACGUCGGUUGAAACCGCUUGGCUAGAGUCCGGAAGAGGAGAGUGGAAUUCCCGGUGUAGCGGUGAAAUGCGCAGAUAUCGGGAAGAACACCCGUGGCGAAGGCGGCUCUCUGGGACGGUACUGACGCUGAGACGCGAAAGCGUGGGGAGCGAACAGG
rnacentral:rRNA from 1 species